GAGAAGCUUGCUUCUCUUGAGAGCGGCGGACGGGUGAGUAAUGCCUAGGAAUCUGCCUGGUGGUGGGGGAUAACGUUCGGAAACGGACGCUAAUACCGCAUACGUCCUACGGGAGAAAGCGGGGGACCUUCGGGCCUCGCGCCAUUAGAUGAGCCUAGGUCGGAUUAGCUAGUUGGUGAGGUAAUGGCUCACCAAGGCUACGAUCCGUAACUGGUCUGAGAGGAUGAUCAGUCACACUGGAACUGAGACACGGUCCAGACUCCUACGGGAGGCAGCAGUGGGGAAUAUUGGACAAUGGGCGAAAGCCUGAUCCAGCCAUGCCGCGUGUGUGAAGAAGGUCUUCGGAUUGUAAAGCACUUUAAGUUGGGAGGAAGGGUAGUAACUUAAUACGUUGCUACUUUGACGUUACCGACAGAAUAAGCACCGGCUAACUUCGUGCCAGCAGCCGCGGUAAUACGAAGGGUGCAAGCGUUAAUCGGAAUUACUGGGCGUAAAGCGCGCGUAGGUGGUUCAGUAAGUUGGAUGUGAAAUCCCCGGGCUCAACCUGGGAACUGCAUCCAAAACUGCUGAGCUAGAGUACGGUAGAGGGUAGUGGAAUUUCCUGUGUAGCGGUGAAAUGCGUAGAUAUAGGAAGGAACACCAGUGGCGAAGGCGACUACCUGGACUGAUACUGACACUGAGGUGCGAAAGCGUGGGGAGCAAACAGGAUUAGAUACCCUGGUAGUCCACGCCGUAAACGAUGUCAACUAGCCGUUGGGAGUCUUGAACUCUUAGUGGCGCAGCUAACGCAUUAAGUUGACCGCCUGGGGAGUACGGCCGCAAG
rnacentral:rRNA from 1 species